AUUGAACGCUGGCGGCAGGCCUAACACAUGCAAGUCGAACGGUAACAGGAAGAAGCUUGCUUCUUUGCUGACGAGUGGCGGACGGGUGAGUAAUGUCUGGGAAACUGCCUGAUGGAGGGGGAUAACUACUGGAAACGGUAGCUAAUACCGCAUAACGUCGCAAGACCAAAGAGGGGGACCUUCGGGCCUCUUGCCAUCGGAUGUGCCCAGAUGGGAUUAGCUAGUAGGUGGGGUAACGGCUCACCUAGGCGACGAUCCCUAGCUGGCCUGAGAGGAUGACCAGCCACACUGGAACUGAGACACGGUCCAGACUCCUACGGGAGGCAGCAGUGGGGAAUAUUGCACAAUGGGCGCAAGCCUGAUGCAGCCAUGCCGCGUGUAUGAAGAAGGCUUUCGGGUUGUAAAGUACUUUCAGCGGGGAGGAAGGGAGUAAAGUUAAUACCUUUGCUCAUUGACGUUACCCGCAGAAGAAGCACCGGCUAACUCCGUG
rnacentral:rRNA from 1 species